AAUGAACGCUGGCGGCAGGCCUAACACAUGCAAGUCGAACGGAUCCUUCGGGAUUAGUGGCGGACGGGUGAGUAACGCGUGGGAACAUACCCUUUGGUACGGAAUAGCCUCGGGAAACUGGGAGUAAUACCGUAUGUGGUCGAGAGACGAAAGAUUUAUCGCCAAAGGAUCGGCCCGCGUUGGAUUAGGUAGUUGGUGGGGUAAUGGCCUACCAAGCCGACGAUCCAUAGCUGGUUUGAGCGGAUGAUCAGCCACACUGGGACUGAGACACGGCCCAGACUCCUACGGGAGGAAGCAGUGGGGAAUCUUAGACAAUGGGGGAAGCCUUGAUCUAGCCAUGCCGCGUGAUCGAUGAAGGCCUUAGGGUUGUAAAGAUCUUUCAGGUGGGAAGAUAAUGACUGUACCACCAGAAGAAGCCCCGGCUAACUCCGUGCCAGCCGCCGCGGUAA
rnacentral:rRNA from 1 species